ACAAUAAUCUAUCCACACUCGUGUUUGGUUGGUGUCGUUGUGUUAUCAUCGUCUUCAUCAUGAUUCAUUAUUCAUUCAUCUUCAUUCCUCUGGAGUGUAGGUGGUAUGUAUAUAGUGAAGAAAGAGGGAGAAGGUGGUCGCAUGCGCCCAGCCAGUAACAACACACAACACACACAUUCAUACUUUGACAACUAAUGGAGAACCAAUUAUUAUCAAUAAUAUGUUGAAA
rnacentral:misc_RNA from 1 species